rnacentral:sRNA from 17 species
AUUCUAACUUUUCCAACGCGGAAGAAGUAGAAAAACUGUUGGCCGCUGGCAAUGCCGAAAACUCAAUCGCAACAAAGAUCGUUCACUUUCAACGAC